CGCCUAGGCAGCCACUGGACACCUGCAACUGCUUACAGGACUGAAAGCAGGCGACGAAGACUGUGAAGUUUGACGGUCUGGAAAGCAGAGGCCAGCCGCGCUAUCUGAGAGCACCGAGACUCCGGACAGCGCCGCUCGGGGUCCAGGAAGCGAGCCACAACCUGCUUCAGCACCAGAGCUCCGGACAGCUCCUAGGGAUUUCGGGGCCGACUUCAUUUCAGGACCAAGAGGCUGGAUAGCUUCCCUGGUACCGGGAAGCCCUCGUACUCACAAGGAGGAGGGGCGGGGUGGGGGUGGGGGGCGGGCGGCGUGGGGCGGGGGGUGGUAUAGAGGGUGGUCUGAAGUGUCUGACGUUUCUGGAGACUUGUUCUUCAUUUAAUGAAUCUCUCAACGAAUUAUUUUUCAGACAAGGAGGUGAGAUAAAAGUACACACACACACAAAUCUAAUUUACAACAGGUGAGAUGGCCAAUCGGUAGUACGGUGUGGGGGGGGGGGGGGCAGGCGCCUGCCAACAUGGCAUUAGUGUCCUCUUUCCAGACUUCUGUGAGAAGCAUAGUGCCAAGCAUUUUACGUACAUUAUAUCUUGCCUUCUUUGGCCCUGGGACAUGAGUUUUUGUUACACUCAGGUGACAGUUGAAGAAACUGAGACCCAAAGAGGGGAAAGGAUGUAACAAGCCCAAGAGUGAAGCUGCAAGUCAACCCCACAGCUUCCCAACUCCAAAUUCCAUGUUUCCAACAUAGUUGGCUGGGAGUUGGGCCUUUGGGGAUCAGACCCUGCCUCUCUCCAGGAGGACCAGAAAUGCACACCAGGAGACAGUGGAUAACAGGUGUCAUGGCUUAGCUCAGGUGAGGGGAGAUAACUCGGUGGGGAUCAAAGACAUGGGGCAGACGGUGGCGAAGAAGACUGGAGCGGUUGUGGUCUAGUGCUG
ensembl:lncRNA